UGAUUAACAGAUUGUGGUAGUGGAGGCAGUAUUGACUGCUGUAAAAUAGUAACACUUGGACAGAAGUCUGCAUGUUCCUAUAGGACAGGCAAUACAGCAAACAUGUGGCAUUCAAGAAACAAUCGACUGGCCAAUACUACUUACUAACUACAAUAUUCAUCAGUUAUUUUAACUGCAUAUAAUCAGCUGCCAACACUGAUGCAAAAUAUUGUCCAGAGUUACCUAAGGCAUAUAUAGGGUGAAGAAUAAAUACCACACCUGGCAGUCAGCAUGUGAUUCCUGACUGCAAUAGAAAACAAAAGUGUAUCGAGCAAAACCUAGCCCUCAUAUAUGUUUAAUGGAAUUGUGAUUUAAAAAACAAGGUUCUGACAGUGGUGUAAGUGCAUGCUACAUGGCCAAGAAUAGGUAGAAUGAACUCUGUGCUGUGCCAGAACUGUCCCAUUACCUCACUGAAGCAAUGCCAUGGGGAACAGAUAUCUGGACUUCCCGUUGUUCCAGUUGCAUUCACACCCAACUUUCUUUUUUCUCCAAUUGAAGCAUCAAAUUGUAUCCAUUUUUCACAUCCACAAUGUAGUAUGUUGUGUAUUUCUUUCUGCUUCUGUUACCUUUAAAUAUUAAGACAUAACAUGAACUAAUUACAGAUGUAUACGACCACUUUGUUUCAUCAUGACAUAAAUAAAGCCAAUAGAAAAUAAAAGUGGAUAUAGUAA